rnacentral:rRNA from 1 species
UACGUAGGUGGCAAGCGUUUGUCCGGAAUUAUUGGGCGUAAAGCGCGCGCAGGCGGCCUCUUAAGUCUGAUGUGAAAGCCCCCGGCUCAACCGGGGAGGGCCAUUGGAAACUGGGAGGCUUGAGUAUAGGGGAGAAGAGUGGAAUUCCACGUGUAGCGGUGAAAUGCGUAGAGAUGUGGAGGAACACCAGUGGCGAAGGCGACUCUUUGGCCUAUAACUGACGCUGAGGCGCGAAAGCGUGGGGAGCAAACAGG